CGGCAACACAACUCCAACGAAGGUAUGGAAACACGGCAAGUUAUAUGGACGACAAUACAUCGGUGGCGGCCCGUGGCCUGGCAAUGUAGGCGCUGCACAUUGGAGGAUACUUCAAAAGGGGAGCUUCUCAAGCAUUACCAAGUCAAGCACAGUAUUUAUGGAUGUGGCUGAGCUGAACCAAAACCAACUAAUCACCAAUUAAAGAAGAGCGACAGCCCAGUCAUUAAGGACUUGAUGUGGAGAACUUUUGCACAUAGAGGAACAUACAACAUACACAUGAGCAUCAGUGACAUGAAGCACAGGUGGCCUACCUUGUUUAAUGUCUCACAGGAGAGGAAGGUGCCAGAAUGGAGGCGAAAGGACACCAAAACUGUUAUCCUUGUUUGCAGCGAAGAAAAAUGUUGUCAGAGCAAGAAUUCAAGCACAGACGAACAAUCUAUUUCAGGAUGCCGGGGAUGGAUCAACCAGCAUUCAAGAAAAGAUGGCAUAGUGAUUGAGGGCAGCACCGUCCACAGCAAUCUUGGGGAUCUUAG